rnacentral:rRNA from 1 species
AACGUAGGUGGCGAGCGUUAUCCGGAUUUACUGGGCGUAAAGGGCAGGUAGGCGGUUUGGUAAGUCUAUUGUGAAAGCUCCCGGCUUAACUGGGAGAGGCCAAUGGAUACUACCAAGCUUGAGUAUAGGAGAGGUUACUGGAAUUCCCGGUGUAGCGGUGAAAUGCGCAGAUAUCGGGAGGAACACCAAUGGCGAAAGCAGGUAACUGGACUAUUACUGACACUGAACUGCGAAAGCUAGGGGAGCAAACAGG